UUCGAUUCUACUUAUCUAGUAUUAAUUUGGUUUGAUUUUGUGAGAUUGUUUUUAGCUUUACUUUGGCUCUGGUGUAGUCUAUUUAUAGUAUUUUAGCAUUCUUUAGAUGGCUAAGCUUAAUUGGAGUCGUUCAUGUAUGACCCUCGACUGUUAGUUACUUAUGAAAAGAUUAUUAUGUUGCCCUCUUUUUAAAUUUUUAGAAUAGGCUUAAAGUGGUAGUGAUGGAUUAAAUUAGUUUGUAAAAGAUAUUAUCUGCCCUAUUUUUUGUCACUUGUUUAUGAAGCUAGAAAAUAUGCCAAGUGUUUUAGCUUAGUUCAUUAUUUGGGGAAAAGGGUCAUUCUAUGCCCUGUUGAGUUUCUGUUUGUUUUUUUUUUUUUUAAAAAAAAACUUUAUCAUCUCAAAGCUGCAAAAUUGUAUUUGUCAUAAAAAGGGUUCUGUUCUUGUUAUGUGGGAUUAGAUAGGAGUUGGUUUGUUUAAUGUUUAGUGUAAGAACUGAUUUAGGAAAUAAAGUCGCAGCUUUGCUGCCUAAAUAUCCUUAAUGACAGAUUUUUGUUUCAACUUAAUUAAGUGCUUGUUAAAAGAAUAGAAAGUUCAGAGAAUCAUGUGUGGUCAAUGCUUUGGAGGUGAUAAAUGAUUUGAAUAGACUCUUCCAAGCCGCUGAUUUCUAAAAACUGAGCUCUUUUUCUUACUUGAACCUGCUGUAUGCUUUGUUGUCUUCCCCAGAAAGAUCUGUUGAAGUUUUAGUACUUUUUUCUUAUUAUUUGAAAUAGGGAGGAAUCUGUUUUGAUCAAUUACUCUUGGUUUAGGGUGUUGUUUGGAUCUUUAGCUUGUUUCAAUUUAGCUAACUUGUGAAAAGAAUGUCAUUUUUGCAAAGAAGCUCAGGUUUCUGUUGGUAGAUAGCUUAAAAGUAAAACUUGUUUGAAUAUAGAUGAGGAGAUUAUGUCCUGCUCUUGUUUUGAAUUAGUUUGAAGAGAUUAAGUGAUUAUAGUUUAAAUGUCCUAAAAUAGGAAUGACAAUAUUGUGUAGAAUACUUAUGGGAAAAGAUUUGGUAUUAUAGGCCUUUACUUGUAUUCUGGCCACAUCUUAGUUUAUAAUGACCAAAGCAUGCCUCCAAACUUUGAGCUUGUGAUGAGUUCAACUGGACAUAUCCUUUUUUUUUUUAACAACUAAGAUGUUGUCACCUUCAAAACCUUGGGACCUGUCUUUUUACCAUAGCUUGAAGCAUGCAUAGUUGUUUAAUGAUUUGUGUCUAGUUUCCUGUUGCUAUUAUUUGUUGGCCAUAAAUCUCAUCUGAAACUUUUUUUGGCCUUAAUAUGAACUGUGAUGAUAGAAUUUGAUUUUUGAACUUGACUUUUUGUUAGUUUAACCAUUUUCAAGAUUUAACUAAAUAUGAUAAUAAAUGGAGGAGGUACCUCAUUUGUUCUUAUCUUGUUAAAACCUUCUUUGUUUAAGACACUCAUUCUUUACCCUCUCUUCUUUGCAUGACUUGGGGAUUUUCAAAUCCCAAAAUGCUCCGGAGUUGCUGCCUAACUUGAGAUGAGGCUGCUACUUUGUGCUGAAAAGGAGAGCAGUGCCUACUAAGCUUGUUGUUCGAAUCACUGCUAUGUUCAAGAGGCUCUCCUAUGCUGCUGUUUUAUUUCACUGUUUCUGUCCUUUGUUCAGAUUUUGCUGCACUUUGAGGCUGUACUUGCUGCUGCAAUUUUGGCUAUUUACACCGCAUUUUGGGCUGAAAUAUGCUGUCUCUUGAGUCAAUGGGUUGCUGCGUCUUUUGCGGCUGAAAAUGCCAAACUUCUGAGUAAAUUUGCCACUGCUUUCAUGGCCGAAAGCUGCUGCAUUUUUUAGCUGAAACGCUGCUGUGUUCUUGGCUGUUUACUGCUGUAUUUUGAGACUUGUUGAGUUGCUGCAUUGUUGAGCUUAUCGUUGUUGGAAUCUUGGACCAGCCUGUGGCUUCAUGUUGGCAAAAAAUAGCUGCUGCUAUACUAAAGGACACAACUGCUAUAUCUUUGAAAUGUUAUUUUGAGGGGUUGGCAUCUACCUCUACCUCAGUGCCCAUUAUGAAUUAAUGUCUUGUUUGCUACAUGCUUGCUGUGGCAUAUUGGGGAAUUGCUGCUGUUAAGUUUGAGGUCAAAAAUUGUUGCCCUACGA